rnacentral:lncRNA from 1 species
UAAAUUCUGAAUAAUUCUAGAUCACUCUACAUUCUUGAUAUUACAGAAUUUCAGUGUUAUUCACGUUUAUCACUAAAAUCUGAAAUUCAACAAUUUAAAAUGAUUAAAGAAGAAUGCAUCUUUUGAGGGGGAGCUUUAGAUAUUUAGUAUCUUAUCCUAAAGAAACUUUAAUUUGAUGCAUACCUUGAAUUUUAUGGAUUGAUUUUGAUGAACCUCCUUAUAUUGCAAGACAUGCUUUAAUUACCUUGAGAUGAGUUCUAUAAAGGCUGUCUUAUCUCAAACCUUGAGUCUUAUGAAAAUGAGCUGAAACUUAUAGAAAAUAUAUUUUUGAGAUUGACAAUUUUAUUGAACAUUAUCUUCAAUUUUUAAACUCUUAAAUGGAAUGAUCAAUAGAGGGGGAGAAAGAACAUUUCAGAAGGAGAGGUCUCACGGAACUUAAUCGCGUAUAUCUAUAACUAAAGGAGAGAGGAAGAAUACAAAAUGAAAAAUGAUCCUAAUACUCUCC